rfam:Ovis aries breed Texel chromosome 1, whole genome shotgun sequence.
UCCCUGGUGGCUCAGGCAGUAAAGCGUCUGCCUACAGUGUGGGAGACCCAGGUUCGAUCCCUGGGUAGGGAA